CAGUCGUACGCUUCUUUUUCACCGGAGCUUGCUCCACCGGAAAAAGAAGAGUGGCGAACGGGUGAGUAACACGUGGGUAACCUGCCCAUCAGAAGGGGAUAACACUUGGAAACAGGUGCUAAUACCGUAUAACAAUCGAAACCGCAUGGUUUUGAUUUGAAAGGCGCUUUCGGGUGUCGCUGAUGGAUGGACCCGCGGUGCAUUAGCUAGUUGGUGAGGUAACGGCUCACCAAGGCCACGAUGCAUAGCCGACCUGAGAGGGUGAUCGGCCACAUUGGGACUGAGACACGGCCCAAACUCCUACGGGAGGCAGCAGUAGGGAAUCUUCGGCAAUGGACGAAAGUCUGACCGAGCAACGCCGCGUGAGUGAAGAAGGUUUUCGGAUCGUAAAACUCUGUUGUUAGAGAAGAACAAGGAUGAGAGUAACUGUUCAUCCCUUGACGGUAUCUAACCAGAAAGCCACGGCUAACUACGUGCCAGCAGCCGCGGUAAUACGUAGGUGGCAAGCGUUGUCCGGAUUUAUUGGGCGUAAAGCGAGCGCAGGCGGUUUCUUAAGUCUGAUGUGAAAGCCCCCGGCUCAACCGGGGAGGGUCAUUGGAAACUGGGAGACUUGAGUGCAGAAGAGGAGAGUGGAAUUCCAUGUGUAGCGGUGAAAUGCGUAGAUAUAUGGAGGAACACCAGUGGCGAAGGCGGCUCUCUGGUCUGUAACUGACGCUGAGGCUCGAAAGCGUGGGGAGCAAACAGGAUUAGAUACCCUGGUAGUCCACGCCGUAAACGAUGAGUGCUAAGUGUUGGAGGGUUUCCGCCCUUCAGUGCUGCAGCUAACGCAUUAAGCACUCCGCCUGGGGAGUACGACCGCAAGGUUGAAACUCAAAGGAAUUGACGGGGGCCCGCACAAGCGGUGGAGCAUGUGGUUUAAUUCGAAGCAACGCGAAGAACCUUACCAGGUCUUGACAUCCUUUGACCACUCUAGAGAUAGAGCUUCCCCUUCGGGGGCAAAGUGACAGGUGGUGCAUGGUUGUCGUCAGCUCGUGU
rnacentral:rRNA from 1 species